CAAAGAAACAGCCGCGUAAAGGCCUUGAGGUCCCGCAGGGAAGGGUCCCGGCGCACAGAGACCAGCACAGGCGGCAGCAGCCGGUCUGUCCCGCGCGUGGAGCCUCUGGCGGCGGAGCGCGGCUGCCCCCUCCUGGGAGAGAAGGCGACAGUCCGGGAGGAGCCCGCAGCGCCAUCCGCGCAAUCCCUGAGAUUUAUCCAGGGCAGGAUUUCAGACAAAAAUCAGGAAUCGUCACCAGCCAAGACUCUGUUCUGACCAUGUGACGUCUUCCAGGCACCAGGAAGAAAUAUGACCAACCUCUGUAACAA
rnacentral:lncRNA from 1 species